ACGGAGCCAGGAGCGGAAGAGGCCCAGGCAGCUGGGUGUAGCGCGGGGACUGUUUGGCGGUGAGUCUGGGGUCGGCUGGAGCUCAAAGCCCCAGACCGCGGGGGACGUCCAGAGACGCUAAGGACUUGGUGUUCCGGGGCGGUGGCCGCUGACGGCUGGUUCGCCGACGGCUGGCUCCCUGCCUGCGGCCGCGGACACCCCCGCCUCGCCGCCUGAAGAUCGGCCCUGAGAGGCCUGUAGGCCUAGGCGCGGCCCGCGGAGCCCGACGCGCUGCUGCCGCCCGUGCUGCUUUCUGCAAAUUUACUUUCUGCAACAUCCAGUGAAAGAAACAAACUAUAUAGAAUCUGCCCUUUUUCAUAUGAGGUUGGAAAAAACAUUCAUCUCAGUCCUGAUUAUACAGUAAACUCUGUGACCCCAAUAAGGCAAGUCUCUUCAUUGAUAAUGAGCUUGAAUGAAAUAAUUUCUUAGAUCCAUUCCACCUGUAGCAUUCUAUGAUUCUAUGAGCUAAAAUGUUGGAAAAUAACCACCCAAGUCAUUUUAUUCCCAAAACCACUUUUCUCAUCUAAAUGCAGAGGAAUUGGCAACAUUAGAUUAUGGGUUCUUUCACAUCAGUCUGUGAUUUUCUGUUUUGUUAAUUGUUCCAUGGCUUUGCCCUAGACCUCCAUCCCUUCGUUGGUUGGAAAUGCCUCAUUCUAAGCCACGCUCUCUCUGUUUCAGAUGUACAUAUCUAAGACCAUACUUAGGUGUCUCCAACUAAAUGUCCCAUAAGAACCUCAUCUUUCAUCUUAUGCAAAAGUGAAGUCUGGGAAGCUGCAUUUUCAAUAUAUGCCCCAGUGAAUUUUAUGCAUUCUAAAUGUUAAGAACCACUGCCCUGGAGAGAAAGUAGAAAACAACUCCAUAUUCAUUCUCUCUUUUAAUCUCCAAUAAACCAUCUAAGAUAUUUGGACU